rnacentral:rRNA from 1 species
AGUAACGCGUGGGUAACCUGUCUUAUACAGGGGGAUAACAGUCAGAAAUGGCUGCUAAUACCGCAUAAGCGCACAGAGCUGCAUGGCUCAGUGUGAAAAACUCCGGUGGUAUAAGAUGGACCCGCGUUGGAUUAGCUUGUUGGUGGGGUAACGGCCCACCAAGGCGACGAUCCAUAGCCGGCCUGAGAGGGUGAACGGCCACAUUGGGACUGAGACACGGCCCAG